AUGGCCCAAAUAAAAAAUGAGAAUGAUGAAAAUGAUUGUCAGAUGUCUGGGCCACAUUCUGCUCUAAUUAUGAAUAUCCUGUGGCUGGACAGUUGGAGGACAAACAGAAAAGCCGACUGUUCUACAGACCUGAAAAUGGCCCACCCCAAAGACUAAGACCACUGAUCCCAGGAAGACAUACUGACUUUGUGGCAAUGCAUGAAGAACAACCUUCAAUCUCAAUGACAGCUCCAAGUUCAAAAUCAUCAAACUACAUAUGGAAUGGGAAAAGCAACAUUUAAAGAUUUUUCUGGAGACGUGUGCAAGCUCAAAUGGGUAGAGAUUUCUAAUAAGGUGAGGAAGUUCUGUAUGUUGAAAGAUUUGCUUCUUGAUGCCCAGGAACACUUAAAAAUACUUAGAAAGGCAAAAACAAAAAACAAGAAAAAAACCUUAAGAAACACUCAGACUUCCCAAAGAAGCCCUUGACCUCUUAUUUCUGCUUCUUCAUGGAGAAGGGGGCCAAGUAUGUGAAAUUCCACCCUGAGAUGAGCAACAUGGACCUGACCAAGAUUCUGCCUAAGAAAUAUAAGGAGCUUCUGGAGAAAGAGGAGAUGAAAUACAUUCAUGAUUUCCAGAGGGAGAAUCAAGAGGUUGAGAGAAACCUGGCCCAGUUCAAAAAAGAUCACUUCCACCUAAUCCAGAAUGCCAAGAAUCAGACAUCACCCAAGAAGUCUAAAACCUUCCAGCAGCUGUGGUACACUCUUGAGAAGAAGGAAUAUCUCAAAGUGCUACCAGAUGCCACUAUGAAGGAGAUUAUGCAGGACUAUAUCCAGAAGCACCCCGAGCUGAACAUCAGUGAGGUGGGCAUCACCAAAUCUGUCUUCACCAAAGCUGAGAACACCAGAUCAAGGACGAGUUGGAUGGGUAACCCACCAAGUCACCUCCAACCAGCUACUCACUGUACUGUUCAGAGCCGACAUGAAGGAUGUACCCAGCAGGAAGUUAGUCUUCCAGAAGCAGGAGGAUGCCUAACACCAGAGGCACAUCCAGAAAAUAAAGAUUAUAAGGUAGAACUGCUCCAUUUUCUUGAGAGCUUGACAAGGAGGAGCAGUAGCAGCAAGUACUGGGGGAGAAGAAGUUGAACAUCAACAAAAAGCAAGCAUGGCCUCCAAGAAGUCACCCUGGGAAGGAAGCAAAGGCAGGUCAGAGAAGCCUAAGCAGCCUGUAUCGUCCAUUUUUGUUUGUUUGUUUUUGUUUUUGAGGACAAGUUGUGGCAAUUGCAGGAGGAUUGGCCCGAGUCCUCUGAAAGUGAGUUAACCCAUCUGCUGACCUGACUGUGGAAUGCCUUGUCUAGGAAGAAGGCCAAGUACAAGGAUACAAGGCCACGGAGUCGGCACUGAAGGCACAGUUGGAGAGGAAGCCUUGUGGGAGCACUAGAUAUGGGGCAAGCUGCCAGAGUCACCCAAGAGAGAGGAGGAGAUCUGGCUACAGAGUGUCAUCAGUGACUACAUGGCCUGAUUCAAGAAUGACAUGGCAGAGGUCUCAGAAGCCAUGGAGGUUACUUGGGAUAACAUGGAGAAGGAGAAACUGAUAGGGAUUAAGACAGUUGAAGACCAAAAGCUACAUGAGAGAGAGCUGAGUGAGUUGCAGGCACCUCCACGGCUGCAAACUCUUCUGAGAAGAUGACGUUCCAGGAAGAAUCCAAGAACCCUCCCACAAAUGGUUGCCAGAAGUUCUCCUAAGAGCUGCUAUCCAACAGAAAGCUGAGCCUCCUGCUGCUCCAGGGGUACAUGGUGGAGAUUGGCAGCCUCCCGCAGUGCAUCUCCCAGAGCUAGAAAAAGCACUACAGAAAUCUGGCUGUAGUGGAGCAGCAAAAGAAGUACAAGAUACACCUGGGCCUCUGGGUCAACAGCCUGUCUCCCCAGGACUGUGAAGUAUCUUGCCAAUAAACGUAAGGUCAUGACCAAGCUGCGAGGCCUGAACUCCAAGUAAAGCCAGACUGCCCUGCAGUCUAAGUCUAGGUCUGAGGAGGAAAAUGAAGAGGAUGAGGACAAUAAGGAUGACAAGGAUGAAGAAGAGGAAGAUGAUGAGAUUGUGGACUCCUCUGAGGAUGGCAGAAACUCCUAUGAGUCCAGCACUGAGGAUGAGAUUGAGGACAAGGACAAGAAUGAGAAGAAUGGCAAGGACAAGGAUGAUGAGGAGGAUAAUGAUGAGGAUGAAGACAAUGAGUCUGAGGGGAACAGUUCUAGUUCCUCCUUUUUAGGGGAUUCCUCAGACUCUGCCUCCACCUGAGGCUCAGCCCCACUCUGGGGCAGCCAGGAGGAGCCCAGGAGCCCCUCUUCCCAACUGGCCAUCUUUGUUUCUCCCCCAUGUU